rnacentral:rRNA from 1 species
UACGUAGGGUGCGAGCGUUAAUCGGAAUUACUGGGCGUAAAGCGUGCGCAGGCGGUCUGUUAAGACCGAUGUGAAAUCCCCGGGCUCAACCUGGGAAUUGCAUUUGUGACUGCCCGACUAGAGUGUGUCAGAGGGGGGUAGAAUUCCACGUGUAGCAGUGAAAUGCGUAGAGAUGUGGAGGAAUACCGAUGGCGAAGGCAGCCCCCUGGGAUAACACUGACGCUCAUGCACGAAAGCGUGGGGAGCAAACAGG